AGCGAACGCUGGCGGCAGGCUUAACACAUGCAAGUCGAGCGGGCAUCCUUGUGGUGUCAGCGGCAGACGGGUGAGUAACGCGUGGGAACGUGCCCUUCGGUUCGGAAUAACUCAGGGAAACUUGAGCUAAUACCGGAUACGUGCGAGAGCAGAAAGGUUUAUCUGCCGAAGGAUCGGCCCGCGUCUGAUUAGCUAGUUGGUGAGGUUAUGGCUCACCAAGGCGACGAUCAGUAGCUGGUCUGAGAGGAUGAUCAGCCACACUGGGACUGAGACACGGCCCAGACUCCUACGGGAAGCAGCAGUGGGGAAUAUUGGACAAGGGGGGCAACCCUGAUCCAGCCAUGCCGCGUGAGUGAUGACGGCCUUAGGGUUGUAAAGCUCUUUUCUUCGGGACGAUAAUGACGGUACCGGAGGAAUAAGCCCCGGCUAACUUCGUG
rnacentral:rRNA from 1 species